GAUGAACGCUGGCGGCGUGCCUAAUACAUGCAAGUCGAGCGAACAGACGAGGAGCUUGCUCCUCUGACGUUAGCGGCGGACGGGUGAGUAACACGUGGAUCACCUACCUAUAAGACUGGGAUAACUUCGGGAAACCGGAGCUAAUACCGGAUAAUAUAUUGAACCGCAUGGUUCAAUAGUGAAAGACGGUUUUGCUGUCACUUAUAGAUGGAUCCGCGCCGCAUUAGCUAGUUGGUAAGGUAACGGCUUACCAAGGCAACGAUGCGUAGCCGACCUGAGAGGGUGAUCGGCCACACUGGAACUGAGACACGGCCCAGACUCCUACGGGAGGCAGCAGUAGGGAAUCUUCCGCAAUGGGCGAAAGCCUGACGGAGCAACGCCGCGUGAGUGAUGAAGGUCUUCGGAUCGUAAAACUCUGUUAUUAGGGAAGAACAAAUGUGUAAGUAACUAUGCACGUCUUGACGGUACCUAAUCAGAAAGCCACGGCUAACUACGUG
rnacentral:rRNA from 1 species